rnacentral:rRNA from 1 species
AUUGAACGCUGGCGGCAUGCUUUACACAUGCAAGUCGAACGGUAACAGGGUGCUUGCACCGCUGACGAGUGGCGAACGGGUGAGUAAUGCGUCGGAACGUGCCGAGUAGUGGGGGAUAACGCAGCGAAAGUUGUGCUAAUACCGCAUACGUACUGAGGUAGAAAGUGGGGGACCUUCGGGCCUCACGCUAUUCGAGCGGCCGACGUCUGAUUAGCAGGUAGGUGAGGUAAAGGCUCACCUAGGCGACGAUCAGUAGCGGGUCUGAGAGGGUGAUCCGCCACACUGGGACUGGGACACGGCCCAGACUCCUACGGGAGGCAGCAGUGGGGAAUUUUGGACAAUGGGCGAAAGCCUGAUCCAGCCAUGCCGCGUGUCUGAAGAAGGCCUUCGGGUUGUAAAGGACUUUUGUCAGGGAGGAAAUCCCUAGUGCUAAUACCGCUGGGGGAUGACAGUACCUGAAGAAUAAGCACCGGCUAACUACGUGCCAGCAGCCGCCGCUGUAA